CACGUAGGGGGCGAGCGUUGUCCGGAUUUAUUGGGCGUAAAGAGCUCGUAGGCGGUUCGGCAAGUCGGGUGUGAAAUUUCGAGGCUCAACCUCGAAACGCCACUCGAUACUGCUGUGACUGGAGUCCGGUAGAGGAGUGCGGAAUUCCUGGUGUAGCGGUGAAAUGCGCAGAUAUCAGGAGGAACACCAACGGCGAAGGCAGCACUCUGGGCCGGUACUGAUGCUGAGGAGCGAAAGCGUGGGGAGCAAACAGG
rnacentral:rRNA from 1 species